GGACCUUCAGUGUGCGUGCGUGAGCGUUUCAGCCCUGGGAGAUCCAACAUCCGACAGCCCGACUUUAAUUUAAUCUCAGUCAUUUCGGAUUAUUGGUUUUUUAAAAAUUUAUUUUUAAUGUUGAAGGAAUUCUGGCUGGGUUUUCUGCAGCAUCAUCCGCACGGAAGUACAAACUCAGCUCUCUCUCUACCGAAUAAGAUGUAAUAACGCAACAAACAUCCUCUGCCUUCAUUCAUCGGCGGUGACAAGUCGUUAUCAGACACGGAUGUACGCGACAGACCGGAUAAGGACAGGGAAAUAAGACGCUCCGGACGACUUGUUGUGGAGGAAUGCAAUUUAAACUUUGUCUGCAUUGAGUCCAGCUGUCAAAAUGGAGCGCUGAACCCGAGGAGACUCUGUUUUCAUCAUUUCAGCCCCAGCUGAAGAGUAAAUACAAGUUUUUUGUGCUUCACCUCUAAACGCAGGGAUGACUGUGAAGCUGGACUUUGAGGAGUGUUUGAAAGACUCUCCACGUUUCAGAGCUGAAAUCGAGGUCGUCCAGGGAGAUGUGAGUGAGCUCGAGACUCGGUUGGAAAAGCCAGACAGGACACGAGGAAAAAAAACAAGAAAAAAAAACAAGCUUGUGAAACAAUGCCAGGCCAUGCUGGAUGCAGGCAGAGUCUACUGCCAGACCAGCAAGAGCUUCGUCAAUGGCCUUCGGGAACUGGGACACCAGUGCUGUAGAGACAAGAUGAUGGAGAACUGCUUGGACAAAUUUUCCAGCAAGCUGUCUGUCAUCCUGGAGGCAAACGGGGAAGUGAUCGAGACAACGCAAAAAGCAGUGAAGAUGAAGCUGCAGACCUUUGUUAAAGAAGAUGUUCGUCGAUUUAAGGAUGUCCGUAAAGAGUUUGAGCGCAGCAGCGAGACCCUGGAGGCAGCGCUGUCCAGAAAUGCUCAGGCUCCACGAGGAAAACUUCAUGAAGUGGAGGAGGCGAGUAACACGUUGCUAAAUGCGCGCAAGUCCUUUCGGUCAGAGGCUCUGGACUACGUCUUGGAGAUCAAUGUCAUUGAGGCCAAGAAGAAGACCGACAUUUUGGCAGCGAUGUUGUCCCUAAUGGAGGCCCAGGCCCAGUUCUUCCAGCAGGGCCACCAGUCUCUGAUGGAACUGGAGGAAUAUCGACAUAAACUCAACGAAGAGCAUACCCAAUUUGUCUUAGACGCUGCUCGAGAGAAGAGAGACAUGGAGCAAAGACACGCAGCAAUCAAGAAAAAGGACAUGUCCUAUGACGACUCAAUAAUGGACUUCAAUGCCGACUCUGCUAAUGGGAUUGCAAUGGAAGGCUACCUCUAUAAGAGGGCCAGCAACGCCUUCAAGACCUGGAGCAGACGAUGGUUUUCAAUCCAGAAAAAUCAACUGGUGUAUCAGAAGAAAUUUAAGGACCAGCCUACCGUUGUGGUCGAAGACUUGCGUCUUUGCACCGUCAAGCCCAGCUCUGAAAACGAGAGGCGGUUCUGCUUUGAGGUUGUGUCGCCUUCAAAAUGUUGUUUGUUGCAGGCAGACUCAGAAAGGCAGCAGCAAGCUUGGAUCAGCGCCGUCCAAAACAGCAUCGCCUCAGCCUUUCAGGAGCGCAGAGAGGAUGCUCACAGUCCAAGACAACGCUGCAGUUCGAUGUCAACGAAUAUUUUAGGGGGAGGAGGCGGCGGAGGAGGCAUGGAUCAGGAGGAUGAGGACUGCAAGGCGCUAACGGAGAUUCAGGGAAUCCCAGGAAACCGGCAGUGCUGCGACUGUGGAGAACCCAGUCCUGACUGGGCCUCCAUCAACCUGGGGAUCACACUGUGUAUCGUCUGCUCAGGAAUACACAGGAGCCUGGGAGUACAUUUCUCCAAAGUGCGUUCCCUCACUCUAGACUCCUGGGAGCCAGAGCUCAUUAAGUUAAUGUGUGAGUUGGGAAAUUCAGUGAUCAACAGGAUCUACGAGGCACGGAUUGAUGAGAUCACCAUCAAGAAGCCCCAUUCUUCCAGUCCCAGAGGCGACAAGGAAUCAUGGAUCAAAUCAAAGUACGUUGAAAAGAAGUUUAUCCAGAAGCUGCCGGAGAUGGGCAGAAACACCCUUCUGAGACGGUCCAGCGCCAGGAGGAACAGAAUUAUCAUACCGGAUCGAACCACACAGAGACCGCCUCUCAAACCCAAACCCAACCGAGCCACUCUGCCUCGGCUCACAGGGCUGAGCCCCAGUGACAUAGUUCAGAAGAACAAUACACACAAAGUUGAAGAAGAGGAAGAGGAAGAUCUAAGCGGUCUUCACCCAGGGGCACUGCUGUACCGCUCAGCAGCCCUGCAGAAUUUCCCCGUCAUGGCCGACGCUUUGGCCCAUGGAGCCGACGCCAACUGGGUCAACUUGGCCGAGGAGUCCAGCACGCCUCUGAUUCAGGCCGUCUCUGUGAAUGCCCUGGCUGCCUGCGAGUUCCUGCUGCAGAACGGCGCCAACGUCAACCAGGUGGACAGCAAUGGGAGAGGGCCACUGCACCAUGCAACUAUCCUGGGUCACACAGGGUUGGUUUGUCUUUUCCUGAAACGAGGAGCAGACUACAAUGCCCGAGACAAGAACCAAAAAGACCCCAUAACCAUCGCAGUGGACAACGCCAAUGCAGACAUCGUCACCCUGUUACGGAUCGCCAAAAUGAACAAGGAGAUGCGGGAGAUGGACGGAGCGUUCGGCCAAUCAGGUCAUUCAGAGGGUCAGGGAUCCCGGGGGGUUCAGGGGGGCUCUGGAGGAGGCCUGGCUCAAACCAGGAGGGGUCUGCAGGCCAUAAGGAAAAAAAUCAUACAAGUGGCCGAAGGACACUGAAAUGAGUUCAGCUCAAGAGUAAAUAAAAACAAACGACUUUAAUCUGCUUCCCGUCCAUCAACAAUCAGAAACACAGGGUACAGAGAUGAGAAACCAACUGGUAUUUAUUGAUGCUCAACAAGCACUUUGUAUUUUAAAUGCACACUGUUCUGCACUUUGAAAAAUAUUUAAAAGCAUGGUCAACAGAGGGCUUCUGCACGUGGAGUAAGAGUGGCUUCUGUGUUGUUAUGAAUGAUAAAACAGGCCUUUUUUGUACAUUUAUGGGAAUCUUUUGACAUUCUGAGUCUUUUUUGUGUAUUGGAACGUCAUUCCAGUCAUGUAAGCUAAUUUCAGUGUUGGGUUUGGUGCUCACCAACAAUUCUCCUCCACUAUUCUGUGAAUAGAGACUCAAUCUAGGCUUUCUUGCUGAUAUUAGAGGGUUUUUGUUUUCAGAUGUAAGUGAAUUUCAUGGAUUCAGUCAGGUCUGCAUCUCUUGUUUUGUAACUUUUAAACAUAAAAAGGUUUUUUUGGGGGGUGGGGGGUACUUUGUGGUGUAUUUCUUACCUAUUGUACAUACCUGAACAGCCUCAGUUUGGAGAAAUAGAGUUUACAUUCUAUUGGAUUGAUUUACUAACAGCUAGCACGGUUUUAGCCAAGUCCAAAGUGGAUAGCUGCUGACUGAAAUAGGUUUGAUUUGCUAAAUUGUGAUGUUUGUUUUACGGUGGCUGUGGCUAGUGUUGGACCAGUCAGUGCUGAGAUUAAAGCUUUCUCUGGCAAAGUAGCAAAGUUAACCAGAGCUUAAUUUGUUUGGGUAAUGGUUUUUUUCUGUGUAAAAAGAACAGGAAAUGUAAAGUAAGUGCUUUUGCUCAUUGUUCCAGAAUAUUCUCUGCUCUUUUGUCGUUUUUGUUCCCACAUAGCUGCGGGAAUGCAAACUGAGUUUGUGAAACAAUCCUCCUCCAGCAGACAGAUUAAUCGGUGUAUAAAGAAACAGUCUUCUGAACCGACCCCCAUAUGCAGAAAAAGAGACAGGCAGAAAAUGUGAAGCCAAAUUUGAACAAAUCUGAUCUGUGUUGUUGAGGCUGUCAUCAAGCUUUCUAAAAUAGGUCACAUAUACUUUAGGUUUUAAAAGUAUUCAACUUCAUUACUCUGGUGGAAGUACAGGUACUAGGGUCCAUAAAAAACGUCUGUUCAAGCUGAAGUAUCAGUUCAAGCCUUUUACUCAAGUAAAAGUAAAAAAGUGUAAAAACAGAGGCCUCAAUAACUUUAUUUUAUAAAAACGGUAUUGUUUGUUUGAUACACCAGUCACCUGUUUCAGACACAUAUAUGCUCCUUUAAAUAACGUAUUUUAGUGUGAUGCAGAUUCAUGAAAGAAGCAUAUUUGGAUGGUACAAACCAAUAGGGUGUCAGAAUGGUAGAAGUUUAAAAUGAUCAUCCAUCUCAGUCAAAUUCAGUCUUUUGGGAUUGUGCAAUUUAUGUGGAUAGGUGUUUUUGUCUUCGUGUUGGUAACAGUGACAAGCUGAAAUUAAAUAGGAGUAACCGGGCCACUUCUGUAAAGUGACGCGUAAGCGUCGCGUAACGUCUGUGAAACGUAGUACGCAGCAAUUAGCUGCCAUUAUAGAGAGUGGGUUCAUCUCCACCGGCCCCGAAACAUUACCUUUUGGAAGCGUCUUAGAAACGUAGGGACGCAUUGCUUCAAGUCUUAAUUUUUAUGCGCUACACUUCCAGAACGCGUCAAACUCUGCAGUUCACUCUGGACCAGACAGGAAGUCAAAUACGAAAUUAAUGUAAAAUAUCCUGAAGCUUUCAAAAUUAAAGUUACAUGCUGAUUUCAAGUUGCUUAACUAGCGCCAAAGUCUACCUCCGUAGCCGAGAUAAGCAGAACUGAAAAUGAAAGCGACAUCUUUUAAUGCAUGCUGCCGUCUUUCUCCUUGUUUUUUUAUCACAUGAACUCCCGAAGUCACGCGUGGUGUUGCAUUCUCCCGUGAUGUUGUGAAUACUGCCGUUGUUGUUUUGCUUCUGAAAUGCUCCCGACGGGAAGGGAGCUCACGGGGAACCGUGGCUAUUCUGUUACGUGCUGCUUAUGCAUCUGGUGGAAAUGCAGGAUCAGAAGAAGAAAAGACAAAUAAUUGCGUAAAAAUUUAAGAAGUAGAGGUAAAAAGUUGGCUAAUAAAUAAUUUCUCCACUGAAGUAUAGGAAUCCAACUGAGUUGAGGUAACAAAGUAUUUGUACUUCACAUAUAUACAAAAACACUGCGUUUGGGACGUUUUUGCCAAUGAUAUAUGUAGUCUAGAGAUAUGAGGGAGAACUAAACUGAAACCGCACUGAUCAACUAAAACCAACUUAAUAAUAAUUUGUGUUUUUAAGUAAUAAUAAUAAUUUCCUGCUGGACCUGACCCCUGGAUGCACAGGAAGUGCUACAUUUAGCUGCUGCUGGUGAUGAUGUUAGUGAAUCUCAUGCGUCUAAUUAGAAACUGACAGCAGCUCAGUGUGAAGGUUAAAAAAAUAAAUCAAAACUGUUUUAAGUCAGCUUUUAGCUCAUCAGUCCAAUAAUGCCUCCAAACAGAGGCUGUUGAGAAAGUCUAUCACGGUGGAGAGAAAUGAUUCAGAACCACAAUUAAAAAUCAUCCCCGUCAGACUUUAUUUGUCGUUUAUGCUGUCGAGUUUGGUGUGCCGUGAGAGCGCUCUGGGCCAUGUUGCUUUAACUGUGUGGGGUUUUCAGUCAUGGAGGAAUGCAAACGUGUGUGUCUGCUGCUCAGUAUCUGAAAGUGCUGUGCUUUGUCAUUGUUUGUCUCUGUUGCCCUCUGCCUGCUGAGAUGUCCAUCUGGUCUCACCUGCUUGUGCAGUGUGUCGCCUGCAGCGAGCUACAAAGGUGAUGAAACCUACCAGGACAUUUUCAGAGACUUUUCCCACAUGGCCUCAAAUAACCCGGAGAAGCUGAAGCGUCGCAGCGCCGACCCCAAAACUUAACCAGCUGCUGCCUUCACACCUCAUCCGUACCCUUUCUAUAGCCAUCCAUGUAUUUUCACAAACACACACACAUGCAGAAACACACACAUUCCUGGAUUCCUUCCACAUGCUGGGUCAGAGCUCAGCUGGUGGUGACUUCAGAUGAGAUGAACGCUCUGACCAGCAGAUUCUUUGUGAGAGUGCGUCACCUCGGAACAAUCGUGUCCAAGUGGAAACACUGGAACUAUUUUAUGAGUCCAGUCUGAGGUGUUUUAUUAACAUCCCACAGGGGGAUCACUCUGGCAAGAGUCACUGAUUAAAAACAGUAAACCAGAUCAGUUUUUUUAUGUUUUAACUGAAAAUAUCUUUUUUAUGUUCUGCUUUUGAACCUUUUACAUAAAAAUAAAAUAAAAACCCUCGAUGCAAA